GAAUCCUUGAAGGCAACAAGGACAAUAUUGUGAUUGUGAUCUCACAGUCCUGCCUCCUUAAGGCUGGAACAUUUAUCAGUGGAAUAUUCUUAGACCAGCUUCCUCUAUGUAGUGUGCUUAAUUCCUUUACUCAUGUCCCUCAAGAGAGUCUGGACCAGGGCACUCUAUACUGCAGGAAGCAGUAAGAGGGUUUAGCCAUGUAAGACAGCUGUGAUUUUUAUUAUAGGUAAGUGGACCUAACACUCAUGAAAUGUGUCAGAUUUACAGUGCUGGAAAUGAGAAGCUUUCAGUUUAAUGUAGAGAAGAGCUGCAGUGAAGGAAGAGGCAGAAAGAACAUUUUGAUCCCUGAGGAAUAUAUCUCUGCUUCUUACUUUUGUCUCUGGAGGGAGCAGCUCAGCACCGGGGUGGCCUCCCCUCUACUGCUUCAGUCACCAGAGCAGACUGAAUUCCAUUGGAUUUUUACAACUAUGAGAAGAA